rnacentral:rRNA from 1 species
UACGGAGGGUGCAAGCGUUAAUCGGAAUUACUGGGCGUAAAGAGCACGUAGGCGGUUAGGUAAGUUAGAUGUGAAAUCCCCGGGCUUAACCUGGGAGCUGCAUUUAAAACUGUCUGGCUAGAGUUCGGUAGAGGGGGGUGGAAUUUCCGGUGUAGCGGUGAAAUGCGUAGAGAUCGGAAGGAACAUCAGUGGCGAAGGCGGCCCCCUGGACUAGGACUGACGCUGAGGUGCGAAAGCGUGGGGAGCAAACAGG